CUGGAUGUUUAUAAAGUGCCAAAGGAGAUUCGGCUGUGCAACCAAGGUUGAGUUGGACAACGGAGGGGUGAGGCAAGCCAAGCUCCCACUCUGAGACGUGGUUGUUUCCUUUGCAAAGUAAGGCAGUGGAACUGCGUGAUCAUCUAAAGACUCGUCCCGCCUUUCUCUGAAUAUAUAGCAGGCAGAAUAAGUGAGAUUGACAUGACCAAGGACGAGGGGACAGGAUUACAAGCUGGCUGGCCACCAGGUUCCCCACUCAGGACCCAAGCUGCGAAAGAGAGCAUUGCAUCCAGCUCCAAGAUUGGCUGCUUGGCACCCUAGUUUGGGGAGGGGUUUGUCUCCUUGCAAUGCUUGGGCCCUCUCAAACAGCCGCGGCAUCUGGAAUGGUGCCCGCCCAACUUCAGCAUGCGUGACAGUCACCUGGGGCACCUGUGAAGCACGCAGACUUCUGGGAUCCGUCCUGCCCCGACUGAAUCAGACUCGGCAUGUUUUGAAGUUUCUCCCAUGAGCUGAUGGAGGCGAUCUAUGGACCACACGCUGAGAUGAGCGGGUUCAAGUGUACACCUGGCACCGUGGGUGUGGUACCUCAUGCCACCGUUUACUGGAACACUGAAGGGCAGGUUCUGUGUCAAGAGUCUGCUCCAAGAGGCCUCGACCGGGGAGUGGGGAGAAGUGACCUCUGCAGAUACUGUGUGUGGUA